rnacentral:tRNA from 1 species
GCAUCGGUGGUUCAGUGGUUGAAUUCUCGCCUGCCACGCGGGAGGCCCGGGUUCAAUUUCCGGCCGAUGCA